UAUAUAUGACUGAACCGUAGACAGUAGGGGCCGGAUGGCAUAAGAUCCUACCGAGGUAACUUGGAUUGUGAUACUUACAUCCUGCCUUCGUCUGUCUGCGAAGGCUUUUUUUAUG
rnacentral:sRNA from 1 species